AUGCUGAGCCUUUGUUCCGUUGCAGUUUUUUCAGUUAUAGCGGUUAUAAUUAAGCGUAUGGUCUCAGGUUACAGCUAACGAUACAACGAUUAUGAUCAAGCGUAUAGUUUUGGGUUAUAGCUAAUGAUGACAGACGUGGUGCCGGGAACGAGCUAUCGUGCCUGCAGGGCUUUGAUACGUCAAUAUUACGCUGACGGGAAGCUAUUGACAGCUGAUCAGAGUGUCAAUUUACUCUGAUGAUGAUCCUAGGUUUCUCCAAAGAGAUUCCCGCAGAGGUCUUUCAGAGUUUCUCCGACUUGGGUGAAAGUUGCUAAACUAUUUAUAGACAGAGGUGUCUCUCAGAGAUACCCAAUGAUGAACUGCUAAAUGGAAUCUUUAAUUAUCUGGCAAGCAGCAGUUCUUUGUGCUCUUAGGUUGCUAUCAGGUUACAAGGUAGUGGGUCAGGUUUCCUGUCCGAUACGUGAGAGGGGUUUGAGCUUGCUUCUUGACCAGUUGCAGGGAUUUAUGACAGGGCUAUCCCCUUUUACUCUGACCAAUCAUAAAUCACGCCUAAGUUUCGUUUCUUGCUAGUGACGUGGGCAUAAAUUUAAGUUUCUUGCUUGGAUUUUUUUUUUUUUCUCAGGAACUUCUGGACAGAGAUUUCUUUAACCCUUAAUUGACUGCUGUGUGCAUCUCUUGCUAGUGACAUGGGCACUGAUUAAUUUGGUUGUGACACUGUCCUCGGCUCCUGCAAGGGGAUGACUGUCUCCUAAUGGACAUUUUAUGAAAAGGGCUCGUUCCAAUCUCUGCUGUCAUUGAAAAAAAAGUUGGAUGGCCCAGGAAGGCUUUGGUGCAUGCACAGGAUUGGGAGGUUGGCUGAUCUCCUUCAGCGGGCUUUAAACUAGGCUUGUUGGGGGAAGGGGAGGAUGAGGUCGGAGGGAGCCUCAGAACACCAAACCAAGUGUCUCCUACAAGAACAGCCCAGCCAAGACUGAUGACGAGCACAAGAAAUACCCAGGUCCCAUUGGCUGUACCAAGGGGAAGCUUCCAGAGGCUUUUACUAAGAAGAUAACAGAAGUUUGUUAGAAGUUAUUCCAGGGAAUAAGUUUAAAAUGUUUAAGGAUUAAAAAAGCUUUUUACCUAAAUGAACACUGCAACAGACCCACGAGUCUUGCUUACCUUUGACUUUAUCUCCACCUGGAGAAAAUAAUAUGUAAUGGUUCUAAUGGGCUAUAAUCCUCCUCUCUCAGGUCCCAUUUAGAAAUUAAUCUCUCCCAUCCUCAGUUAUUAAAUUAAUUUCUUAGCAAAGAAAUGAAAGGGUAAUGUGGAGAUAUUCAGAGUAUAAACAGCUACAGGGAUCAAAAAUGAGGUAUACUGUGGUAGUAAAAUAAAUGGCUUUUAGUUCAAAUAAAAAAGAAGCCUUUUCAAUACAAAGCCAGUAUUUUUCUGAUAAAAUUAUUUGCCAUAUUCUCCAUUCAGUGACUCUUUAGUGCAGAAUGCAUAAGCAACAUAGAGAGCAAGGGAAAGAGCACAUGUCUCCCAGGUGUGCUCCUACCUAACUGGCUUAUAAAGGGAGGCUUCCUCUUGCAUGCUGUCAUUCUGGUACCAUGCUUCUUGAAUUUUUUUUCUAGACAAAGGCUCAAUAUCAACAUCAACCAUUGAUGGAGGGUGCCCUCUCUUCUGCCUACUCCUUAGCCAGGUAGUAGUAGAUAGUAAGAGAUGUGAGUUCAGAGUAAGAUGGACCUAGAACAGAUGCUUUGCCUGUCCUGGGCAAGAGCCUUUGCUAUUAAGUUACUGGGCAAAAAGUGAGUGCCUUCCCAACCAUGGUCCUCUCUCCUAACUAAAGUCUAUGUUUCUGUCUAUGAAUUAGACACACUGGGAGUAUCUACGUGUGUAUUUAAUGUGCAUUAGCCCGAUUUAAGGCACAUUAAGGGUAUGAGUCUAUAUACGCACACCCUUAAUUGCACCUUAAAAAUGGUAAUUUAAGGCUAUUUGAGCCUAAAUUUGAUACCUGCAUAAAGCAGGUAUCAACUUUAUGUGCAAAUAUUUAAAUCACAUUAGCGAACAUAUAGACAUGCUAAUGCAUAUUAACUCAGUGUGUGUCCAUUGACUUGGGACUAACUUUAGUCCCAAGCCAGUCCUCAUACCCGUGUUAAUGUGCACUAGUGAGUGGACAUGUGGGCGUGCACCUAAAUUGCAUUAAUGCACAUUAGGGAAACAUGCAUUAAGUUUAGGUGCACAUAAAAGCACAUGUAGACAGGCCCACUGGUUCAUGUGGGUGUCCUACCACUUAUGGAGCUGUAUUAAGGUGGAUGUUGAAGUGCUGGAAGUGUGGAAGAGAGAAUGAGAAAGGUGUGUACAUCUUCCUGGGUAGAAUAUGAUCAUCCUCCAGUGUUGUACAAAGCUGCCCAUUGGAAAGAAUGGGGAAGCUAUGUGUCCCCCUAGGUAGAGUGAGUUUGUACUUCAGACAUGAGAUGUGUACUUUUGGGGCUCGCAGUAGCAAAUGUCUUAAAAGGUGGAAAAGGAUGCAGGUCUGAUUUCACCUUUGCCCUAACACAAACACCUGUACCUGUACCACAAUAAAAUACCACUGUGACACCAUCCUGGAAAAGCUCCUCUCCAUCCCGACAUGGGCUUCUCUUCUGAAUCAUGGAGUCUGUCUGUUCCUCUGUCUUUCCUAUUGUUUCAUGCUCUGUGUUACGUCCCAGUAUUACAACUAGUCUUUCUUUUAAUUUUUCUUCCUAUUUUGGGAUAUUUCAUUCUCCAAAUUUCUUUCUUGAGGUGACUCUGGUUGAAAUAGCUUCCCUAGGCUUCAGCCACUCCAUUGUCCUAAGGCACUCUCAUUUGAAUAAGAACUAUCAAGGUUUAGUGACCCUACACAGUCUUUGUUCUGGGAGCUAUGUAACUGUCCCCUGCCAGAAUUCUUAACUUGCACAUGAGCUGAUUCCCAAAAAAGUUAUACUACAAUACUCCAACCCUACUACAGCUACUCACACAUUUCUUUUUCUGGGAUGAGGGAGAAUGAAAAAAACUGCUUGUGGCAUGUUACUUGAAGUCAUAAUGGAAAGCACUACAAUGUUGAGGACAACAUAAGAACUUGUACAAUAAAUGUACAAUGUACAAUAAAUGUAGAAUGUAACUUAGUUUCCAAAAAGUUAUGGUGAAAAAGGGUUGGUGAAAAAGUUAUGGUGAAAAAGGGUUGUGUUUUUUACUGGUUUGCAGCACUUCAAGAGGGAUGUGGCUAGCAUUGAGAGGGUCCAGAGGAGGGCCACUCACAUGGUCAAGGGGCAGCAGGGCAGGCCCUACGAAGGGAGGCUACAGGGGCUGAAUCUAUUCAGCCUUCACAAGAGAAGGCUGAGAGGGGAUCUGGUGGCUGUUUGCAAACUCAUCAGGGGGGACCAGCGGGAAUUGGGUGAGGCUCUGUUCCCCUGGGCACCACUGGGGUUUACUAGGAAUAACGGCCACAAAUUGUUAGAGAGAAGGUUCAGGCUGGACAUCAGGAGACAUUACUUUACAGUUAGGGCUGCCAGGCUCUGGAAUGGGCUCCCUAGUGACAUGGUACUCUCUCCUACCUUGGGGGGGUCUUCACGAGUAGGCUGGACAGAUAUUUGGCUGGGAUGAUAUGACCUCAGCACCCGUUCCUGCCCGGGGCAGGAGGGUCAGACCUGAUGAUCUGUUUAGGUCCCUUCUGACCCUAAGCACUAUGAUACCUAUUCCCGUUGGGGGGGUGUUUGUUCUUUCCAUUUAUAUGGUUCAUAAGAUGAGGUGAAUUCUUCAUUAUGGCAACCAAUGCUGAAAAUCCAUUGACUUCAACAGGACUAACAUUUCAGUCAUAGUCCCAAAUGCAUGCAGUUGAUUAGGACCUGAAUUGUCUUGCACAUGGAAAUGAUUUAUAAAGUCAUCCUAACAAUUCACUAUUUCAGGAUUAAUCCUUUGAAAACUAUCAGUGAAAAUCAUGCAUCUAGGAGAGUGUUUUUAAAAUCAGGGCUGAACAGUAAAUAAAGAAAUCAGGACUGAACCCCUAUCAUGUCUUUAUUGAAAGAACAUUCAGGUAUCAACUGAAUGUUAAGCAAAGGUUACUAAUCCCAACCUUUUCUCUACUUUGAGUGACAUUUAAAAGUUUCCCACUUUAAUUUUUAGCCCAUGACAAAGACUUUAGAUUACUUUUUAUAGAAGCUUCUGAACCAAUGGCAGGUACAUGGUAAAGUGUAUUUCAUUGAAUGCCCUGCUAGUUAUGAUAUCUAUUUCUCCAAGUUUUUAGCUCAGGCUAGAUUUUGAUUUCAUUAAUACUGCAUAGGUGUAAAUAAAAGCAAAAAUUGCUCAGUUGAUUGUAUUGGUAUUGUGUAAGUGACUGCAUAUAUUAGAGUAAUAUAUGUAAAAAUCUGCUUCUGCAGUUAAAGUUUGAUUGACCUGACAGUACUAGUUUCUAUUUGAAAUCACUUUGGAAGUUAACCUAAACUCCUUCCUUUGACAGAAUAGGUUUUGUUGAUGUAUUGGGGACAGGACAGAGUGCAGAUAAGCAUGUAGCAACUACAUGGGCUAAAUGAACAGCUGUGACCCUGAGAUGUUACAUUAGUUCUCUCAUCUCAUACUAUUUCCUUUGAAUGAGAAUUUACUAUACAGUAAGAAUUCUUGGACUCUAUAGUGUAUGGCUUCCUUAUGUUAACCACAUUGAAGGAGGCUUUUAGUGUCCUUAAUGCAAUACUUCCCAAAAGGGAAAAUGCAUUCAGCAGAGUACUUAAAAAGGAUUUAUUCAAGUAUAAAAGGAAGAAAGAAAGAAAUUGGCUUUUGCUAGUGGCCCGUUCAUAUUAAUUCUCUUUAUAAUCACACAUGUGACUUCAGCUGGAAAACUGUCCACAUAUCUAUGGAUAAGUUUUGCCAAGGUGCUGAUUUUUCCUUAGUGGCACAUUUCUUAAAUGGAUCACAAGGAAAAUGCUGGCUCUAUAAAACCAGCUUUAUAAAGUUAUUAUGACACAUAUGGCUACAAGGUAAGAAGAUAUUUCAUCGUAAAAUGUCACUUGUAUCUCAGAGAAGUGUUGCAGAGAAAGAAGCUUUAUGAUAGUCCCAGAAUCACUUUUGAAAGUGCUUUUGGACACUUCUGUUUCAUCCAAAGCUGGCUGCCUUUCUUCAGAAGGCCUAAGAGCGAAUGAUAAAUACUAACCCUGUUGGUAUACAUCUCAAAAGACCUCUUAUACCAUGAUUUAACUCUUUGAAGUGACACACCAGAAACUAAUAUAAUUGUUUAUAAUGCAAUUUGCAAACAGAUAAGUAAAAUGAGUUUGAAUGUUAGCCUCCUCUACCCAUUACAGAUAUCACAGAGUUAACUGUCAAUUGCACAAUUACCUUGAGACCAGCUACAUGUGCAAAGUACUCACCAUAUGAUAAAAAGCUCCAACCAGCUGUAAAGUUAGAUCUUCAAAAUGUGUACUAACUUUAUAGCUGCUUGGUGCCAAGCUUUAAUUUGCCUAUGUAGCAGGGUCUUCCCUGCAGCUGGGAGCCCCAUCAGCUGUAGACUCUGGGUCCUAGCAGUACCCUGCAGCUGCCAAGACCCAGAGUCCCACAGCUACAUACUCUGGGUCUUCACAGCAUGCCUCCUGGUGCCAGAACCUAAUUGGGGCCUAGGAGCUGCAGGGCAUGGCUACGAUCUCCUAGCUCCACGGGUGUAUUAAAUUCCCAGGGCAGGGAGACUGCUGCUGCAGUGAUCUCCCCACCUUGUGGGUUUUAUGCACCCCUGAGUCUAGGAGGUUGCUGCACCUGAAUCUCCCAGACUUGGAUGGGGGGGAGGUGUUCCCUGUGGCUGGGAGCCCCUAAGCUAAGAGCCAGCCAUGACAGCUUACUUUGUGCCAGUGCAGGGCGAGCCCUGAUCCCAGGAUCGCAAUAAGGUGCGAUGGAAUCCAAUGCACAGUUCCAUAAUCGGGCCUCCUGUCAUGCACAUGUUUAAUGAUCUGUAGGCUGUGUUAUAAAGUAUCAAGAAGUCUCAGAUCCAAAUUGUUGAAAUAUUACAGAGGAAACUGCCAAAGGCUCUUACGAAAUAAAGUAGGACAUAAUGUUGAAGAUUCUUUGCUGUACAAUCAUAGAAGUAAUAAAUAUAUGAGUCUUUUUCUUUGCAGAAAGCAGGAUUAGCUUGUACAUUGUGUUUUCUAGUGCUUAUCCAGUCUAGUUUUAAGAGUCUUGAAGAGUAGAGUUUCCUAUCAUAGAAGUUCAGUGAUAGAGCUAGAUGGUUAUUUCUAUGGAUAUGUUUUGCCAGCCUGCAGAUUUUUCCUUAGUGUCAGAUCUCUUAAAUGGAACAAGAGGGAAAUAUUGGCUCUAUGAAAACAGUUUUAUAUGACAUGUAUGGCCAGAAAGGAAAAAGAUACUUCAUCCUAAAUGGUACCUUGUGUCUAAGACAAGUCAUAAGAAAGAUCUCACAGCUAGAGUGGAAAGAAAAUGUUCAGGUUACUUUCAACCAUAAUGAUUUUUUUCAUAUUGAAACUGAACAACUGAAAGGAAAAGUAGACAAGGACUUAUUGAAUGAAAUGCUACCAGGAAUAUAUCUGCCCUAUUUUAACAUGUAAGAUUUAUUUCUUUUUGCUUUCAUCUUUAUUGUGCCUAAAUUUAUAGCACAUUGAUACUGAUUACCAUUACUAUUAAGUCUUUUUUUUACUGUAGGAAAUGAAUUACAUAAAAAUUAUGGAAAUGCCAAGCAAUCUGUUUGUUCUUCAUUGCUUUUGUCAGUUGUUAGAGCUUUGAUUUUAUUUUGUUUGUAUGCUUUGGUUUACUUUUACUGCAUAUCUAUAUGGGAGCUAUAUGGAAAGUAAUGAAAGCAUGACUCAAGAAAAAAUAAUCAAACAGCAUCUUUUUAAUAUAAUUAUCACAGGAUCAUAAAUGGAACAUUAUCACAUUAAUAAAGUAAUAUCCUUGAAUCAAA